rnacentral:rRNA from 1 species
GGAAGGGGUGUAUUUAUUAGAUAAAAAACCAUCGUCUUCGGACUUUUUGGUGAUUCAUAAUAACUAAACGUAGCGCAUGGCCUUGAGCUGGCGCAAAAUCAUUCAAAUACCUGCCCUAUCAAGCUUCGAUGUGAGGGUAGUGUCCUCACAUGCUUUUGACGGGUAACGGGGAAUUAGGGUUCGACUCCGGAGAGGGAGCCUGAGAAACGGCUACCACAUCCAAGGAAGGCAGCAGGCGCGCAAAUUACCCAAUCCCGACACGGGGAGGUAGUGACAAGAAAUACCGAUACAGGACUCUUUUGGGUCUUGUAAUUGGAAUGAGUACAAUUUAAAACCAUUAACGAGGAACAAUUGGAGGGCAAGUCUGGUGCCAGCAGCC